rnacentral:pre_miRNA from 15 species
GGUCAGGAAGCAAGAUUUAUAUCGAGUUAUCUAAGGAAAUAGUAGCCGUGAUUUUACCCUCGAAGUCAUUCCCAUAUCACAGUUGCUGUUUCUUUUAGAUAGCUCUUUUGUAAGCAGCCUAGAUUUCCAU